CUACGUAGGGUGCGAGCGUUAAUCGGAAUUACUGGGCGUAAAGCGUGCGCAGGCGGUUUUGUAAGACAGUGGUGAAAUCCCCGGGCCCAACCUGGGAACUGCCAUUGUGACUGCAAGGCUGGAGUGCGGCAGAGGGGGAUGGAAUUCCGCGUGUAGCAGUGAAAUGCGUAGAUAUGCGGAGGAACACCGUUGGCGAAGGCAAUCCCCUGGGCCUGCACUGACGCCCAUGCACGAAAGCGUGGGGAGCAAACAGGAUUAGAUACCCUGGUAGUCCACGCCCUAAACGAUGUCAACUGGUUGUUGGGAAUUUAUUUUCUCAGUAACGAAGCUAACGCGUGAAGUUGACCGCCUGGGGAGUUCGGCCGCAAGGUUAAAACUCAAAGGAAUUGACGGGG
rnacentral:rRNA from 1 species